rnacentral:rRNA from 1 species
AGAGUUUGAUCCUGGCUCAGAUUGAACGCUGGCGGCAGGCCUAACACAUGCAAGUCGAACGGUAACAGGAAACAGCUUGCUGUUUCGCUGACGAGUGGCGGACGGGUGAGUAAUGUCUGGGAAACUGCCUGAUGGAGGGGGAUAACUACUGGAAACGGUAGCUAAUACCGCAUAACGUCGCAAGACCAAAGAGGGGGACCUUCGGGCCUCUUGCCAUCAGAUGUGCCCAGAUGGGAUUAGCUAGUAGGUGGGGUAACGGCUCACCUAGGCGACGAUCCCUAGCUGGUCUGAGAGGAUGACCAGCCACACUGGAACUGAGACACGGUCCAGACUCCUACGGGAGGCAGCAGUGGGGAAUAUUGCACAAUGGGCGCAAGCCUGAUGCAGCCAUGCCGCGUGUAUGAAGAAGGCCUUCGGGUUGUAAAGUACUUUCAGCGGGGAGGAAGGGAGUAAAGUUAAUACCUUUGCUCAUUGACGUUACCCGCAGAAGAAGCACCGGCUAACUCCGUGCCAGCAGCCGCGGUAAUACGGAGGGUGCAAGCGUUAAUCGGAAUUACUGGGCGUAAAGCGCACGCAGGCGGUUUGUUAAGUCAGAUGUGAAAUCCCCGGGCUCAACCUGGGAACUGCAUCUGAUACUGGCAAGCUUGAGUCUCGUAGAGGGGGGUAGAAUUCCAGUGUAGCGGUGAAAUGCGUAGAGAUCUGGAGGAAUACCGGUGGCGAAAGCGGCCCCCUGGACGAAGACUGACGCUCAGUGCGAAAGCGUGGGGAGCAAACAGAUUAGAUACCCUGGUAGUCCACGCGUAACGAUGUCGACUUGAGUUGUGCCCUGAGGCGUGCUUCCGAGCUAACGCGU